rnacentral:rRNA from 1 species
UGACGCUGGCGGCAGGCUAACACAUGCAAGUCGAGCGCGCCUUCGGGUGAGCGGCGGACGGGUUAGUAACGCGUGGGAACGUGCCCUUCUCUACGGAAUAGCCUCUGGAAACGGAGAGUAAUACCGUAUACGCCCUUUGGGGGAAAGAUUUAUCGGAGAAGGAUCGGCCCGCGUUAGAUUAGGUAGUUGGUGGGGUAACGGCCUACCAAGCCUACGAUCUAUAGCUGGUUUUAGAGGAUGAUCAGCAACACUGGGACUGAGACACGGCCCAGACUCCUACGGGAGGCGGCAGUGGGGAAUCUUAGACAAUGGGGGCAACCCUGAUCUAGCCAUGCCGCGUGAGUGAUGAAGGCCUUAGGGUCGUAAAGCUCUUUCGCCUGUGAUGAUAAUGACAGUAGCAGGUAAAGAAACCCCGGCUAACUCCGUGCCAGCAGCCGCGGUAAUACGGAGGGGGUUAGCGUUGUUCGGAAUUACUGGGCGUAAAGCGCGCGUAGGCGGAUUAGAAAGUUGGGGGUGAAAUCCCGAGGCUCAACCUCGGAACUGCCUCCAAAACUGCUAGUCUAGAGUUCGAGAGAGGUGAGUGGAAUUCCGAGUGUAGAGGUGAAAUUCGUAGAUAUUCGGAGGAACAACAGUGGCGAAGGCGGCUCACUGGCUCGAUACUGACGCUAAGGUGCCGAAGUGUGGGGACCAACCAGGAUAGAUACCUGGUAAUCCCCACCGUAAACGUGAAUGCCAGUCGUCGAAAGAUACCAUUCGGGGAC